GAUCAGAAUCGCUGAUAGGGCUUCUUAAAACAUAGAUUUCUGUAGCUGCCUCUCUUCCCUCAAUCUCCAGGAGUGCUGUGAUGGGCAGAAGGGCAGCUGACAUUCUGUAAUGUCCCCAUUCUGUGUUCCUUGGUGAGCCCAGGGAGAACACCAUGGUUGGCAUCCAACAGCUCAGUCACAAGGAGAUUUGAUUGACUUGAUUGCUGGUAGGGAAGGGUAUCUGUGGUUAUGAUCUAUCAUUUUCAACUGAGACC